CAGACUCACUGAAACCAGCUCUGUCAAAAAUGUGUUUCAUUUUAAUUUAAUCAAGAGGAGCUCAGGAAAACACUUCAAAGGUGUUAACAAGUUAACCUUAACAAAACUUGUUAAGGUUGGUGCUUCAGGCUGAAAUUACAACAUUUAGAAUCUUUACUUGCGUGUUGGUAUGUUGCCCACAUACCAACCUGUUUCAGCCUGUCACC